AAAGCGUGCGCAGGCGGUUUUGUAAGUCUGACGUGAAAGCCCCGGGCUCAACCUGGGAAUUGCGUUGGAGACUGCAAGGCUUGAAUCUGGCAGAGGGGGGUAGAAUUCCACGUGUAGCAGUGAAAUGCGUAGAGAUGUGGAGGAACACCGAUGGCGAAGGCAGCCCCCUGGGUCAAGAUUGACGCUCAUGCACGAAAGCGUGGGGAGCAAACAUGAUUAGAUACCCUGGUAGUCCACGCCCUAAACGAUGUCUACUAGUUGUCGGGUUUUAAUUAACUUGGUAACGCAGCUAACGCGUGAAGUAGACCGCCUGGGGAGUACGGUCGCAAGAUUAAAACUCAAAGGAAUUGACGGGGACCCGCACAAGCGGUGGAUGAUGUGGAUUAAUUCGAUGCAACGCGAAAAACCUUACCUACCCUUGACAUGGAAGGAAUCCCGAAGAGAUUUGGGAGUGCCCGAAAGGGAGCCUUCACACAGGUGCUGCAUGGCUGUCGUCAGCUCGUGUCGUGAGAUGUUGGGUUAAGUCCCGCAACGAGCGCAACCCUUGUCAUUAGUUGCUACGGCAAGAGCACUCUAAUGAGACUGCCGGUGACAAACCGGAGGAAGGUGGGGAUGACGUCAAGUCCUCAUGGCCCUUAUGGGUAGGGCUCCACACGUCAUACAAUGGUACAUACAGAGGGCCGCCAACCCGCGAGGGGGAGCUAAUCCCAGAAAGUGUAUCGUAGUCCGGAUUGUAGUCUGCAACUCGACUACAUGAAGUUGGAAUCGCUAGUAAUCGCGGAUCAGCAUGUCG
rnacentral:rRNA from 1 species